CUCUGCUGGUGUUUUGUGAGUUAGCCCAGGAUAGGGGAAAACUAUUCAAGCAACACACUCAUCUUACCUAAACCGAAUACAAACAAAAACAAAAAUGUGGGUUUCUACUGCUGUAGAUAAUGUGGAGAAACAACAUCUACUGUUCGGCAGGAGAACAAGGAGGAUAAAAGAGGAAAAGAAAAUCAUGAGGAUAGGUUUUCUGACAACAGAUUCCUCAUGAAGAAGAAGAGGGAUUCCUGAAGAUUGAGGUGAUUCCUGCAUACUGUUGAACUCUCCUGAGCCUGCUGCCUGACCGCUGUUGCUGCUUCAAGGAUUGGCUCCUCGACUUCCUCGUCUACCUGCCUGCUGCCCAGGGCCGGCCACGCUGCUGCUCCCCGUCUUCUGCUGCGUUCUGCCCGGGACCUUCAAACACCGUGCAACGGGACCGCUGCUGGAUCCUGCUGGUGACUAUCCCCGCUUUACGCAACUCCUGCUCCUUUUCCAUCUUUUCUAUCGCCCUCCUUCCCUUCCCCGUCUCCCUGAUUAGGUUUGGUAAUAAACUGGAUGCAACAACA